UUCUGGCUCAGGAUGAACGCUGCGGGCGUGCCUAAUACAUGCAAGUCGAACGAGGUGCUUUUGUAGCAAUACGAGAGUAUCCUAGUGGCGAACGGGUGAGUAACGCGUUGGUGACCUACCCCAAAGUGUGGGAUAACAGUCCGAAAGGAUUGCUAAUACCGCAUGUGGUCAUUGGAUUUAGAAACUGAUGACUAAAGGAGCAAUUCGCUUUGGGAGGGACCUGCGUCCCAUCAGCUAGUUGGUGAGGUAACGGCUCACCAAGGCGACGACGGGUAGGGGACCUGAGAGGGUGGCCCCCCACAAUGGAACUGAAACACGGUCCAUACACCUACGGGUGGCAGCAGUAGGGAAUAUUGCACAAUGGGCGAAAGCCUGAUGCAGCAACGCCGCGUGUGUGAUGAAGGCCUUCGGGUCGUAAAGCACUUUUCUGGGAGAUGAGAAAGGACAGUAUCCCAGGAAUAAGUCUCGGCUAACUACGUGCCAGCAGCCGCGGUAAAACGUAGGAGGCAAGCGUUAUCCGGAUUCACUGGGCGUAAAGCGCGUGCAGGUGGUGUGGUAAGUUAGGCGUGAAAUCUCCCGGCUCAACUGGGAGAGGUCGUCUAAUACUACCGUACUAGAGAGCAGAAGAGGAAGAUGGAAUUCCCGGUGUAGUGGUGAAAUGCGUAGAUAUCGGGAGGAACACCAGUGGCGAAGGCGAUCUUCUGGUCUGUUUCUGACACUCAGACGCGACAGCUAGGGUAGUAAACGGGAUUAGAGACCCCGGUAAUCCUAGCCGUAAACGAUGUGAACUUGGCGUUGGUGGGUUAAACUCCAUCAGUGCCGUAGCAAACGCGAUAAGUUCACCGCCUGGGGACUACGGCCGCAAAGUUAAA
rnacentral:rRNA from 1 species